rnacentral:rRNA from 1 species
ACGGGUGAGUAAUAUAUCGGAACGUGCCCUAGAGUGGGGGAUAACUAGUCGAAAGAUUAGCUAAUACCGCAUACGAUCUAAGGAUGAAAGUGGGGGAUCGCAAGACCUCAUGCUCCUGGAGCGGCCGAUAUCUGAUUAGCUAGUUGGUGGGGUAAAAGCCUACCAAGGCGACGAUCAGUAGCUGGUCUGAGAGGACGACCAGCCACACUGGGACUGAGACACGGCCCAGACUCCUACGGGAGGCAGCAGUGGGGAAUUUUGGACAAUGGGGGCAACCCUGAUCCAGCAAUGCCGCGUGAGUGAAGAAGGCCUUCGGGUUGUAAAGCUCUUUUGUCAGGGAAGAAACGGUUCCAGCUAAUAUCUGGAGCUAAUGACGGUACCUGAAGAAUAAGCACCGGCUAACUACGUGCCAGCAGCCGCGGUAAUACGUAGGGUGCAAGCGUUAAUCGGAAUUACUGGGCGUAAAGCGUGCGCAGGCGGUUGUGUAAGUCAGAUGUGAAAUCCCCGGGCUCAACCUGGGAAUUGCAUUUGAGACUGCACGGCUAGAGUGUGUCAGAGGGGGGUAGAAUUCCACGU